AGCUAGGCGGUCGACUUCUGCGGGCUGGACAGGCGCGUGCGCGGAGCUGUACCCGUUGCUUGGCUACGGCUCUUUGCUGGAGCCUGCCCGGCGCAGUUCGCGUGAUUAAGCAAAUGCCUUUCCUGGUGCUAGUAGGAACUCUCACCACCACCACCCCCAUUCCCCUCCAACCUUUGCUAGAGGAGAGAAGCCAGAGCCUGGAGGCCAAGUCCUUCAAACUCCAUUGCGACUCCUCCCGGCAGGGCGCGGCCUAAAGCCCACGGCGGAACGCUGGACUUAGACCAGGGAUGUCAGCAGGUCUGUCUGUCGGAGCAGAGGCUCUCCGGAAAAGGUGGGUGCUGUCAUCGGGGAAGUGACCAGGCCUGGCUCCCUCACCUGUACUCCAGAGAGCGUGAGAAGGCGGUGCCCCUGCGAAGCCGCCUGGUCAGUGGCGAACCCAGAGGCAGGGAAGGAGGGAGUGUGGUGGAGCUGGCCAGCGCUCAGACACGCAAGCAUAGCCGGGAGAACUGAGGGCCAGCUUCAUGUCCUCUGACGUGGCACUGUGGGUCACUCUGUAAAGCUAACAUUUAUCUUUAGAGAGCCAGGUUUCCAAACUCUUUCUGAACACAUGGUAGACUCAACUUUAAGUCCCUAAAAAGAAGCAGCAACCCCAACCCUAGGAUGGCUAGAGCUAAAUAAUAGCAAGGCCUCGUCUAAAUAAAUAAACAAACAAAUAAAUAAAUAAUAAAAUGCAAGGUCUCCACUCUCAGGCCCCCAAGGGUAGAGAUGUUAAAGGGACAGCUGUGCUGGCUCCCAUCUCUGACUCCAUCCUAAGGUAGGGACAGGACUCGAUGCCUGCUAUAGACUGGCUGGCAUCAUGCAGCCAAGCUAACCUGGCCUCUGAGUGACAGACUCCGGUUUUAGGCCCAGUCUGUGCCCAUAUGCCCUGCUCUGUUGACUGAAACCUCUCUGGGCAUCAGGAGAGCCACUGGGUAGUUUGAGGACUUGAAUGGCGUACUUUAAUGCAUAUGCAAAGGCAAUGGGCACAAACUGGGACUGCCUGAGGCAGGCAGGGCAAAUGGUGACUCCUGAGUUUAUGGGUGCCCCCACCAUUACAUGGGUACCUCCACUUUGCCUGGGGACUCUUCGUUUAUUUGGAAGUUGGGCACAUCAUCCCCAGUUCCCUGGAGUCCUAUGUAGUCAGCAUCUGGUACAAAGCUGUUAUAGCCUAGGCUGCACUACAGAGCACACAGGACUCCCAUGCAUGAAGGCUGUGUCAGAACUCCCUGUGGCUUCUGACACUGUGACCAGCACUUGGUAACCAUGUAUUCUUUGUAGUGCUACCCAGUCAGCCUCUCCCAGGCUGCACUGUCUGGUGUGGUGGCCCCUGGGCAGUUACAUAGAGCUGUGAACUGUGAACAUAAAGCAUACCAGAUAGGUAAGAAUUCAUUGGUGAGUGUUUAUUGAAUGUUGAGUAUUCUGAGAGCAUUGGGUUGAAUAAAACUUCUUAUUAAACGUGA
rnacentral:lncRNA from 1 species